rnacentral:lncRNA from 1 species
GGUGAAGUAUGGGACGUUGCAUAUUAAGUGUUUUUGUGUUUAUGUGUUCUAGGAUAUCAAUUGAGCAUGCUAGUUGUAACAUCCUGUACUUUUCCCUAUUUAGAAAUAGUGUCUUAACACUAUUGAGAGUACUGAGAUAUUGAGAUGCUGAGAUUUUUUUUUUUUAUGACCAGAUAAGACAGAUUGUCUUUUAAAUAGAGAUAUGAGUGGACAAACCAAUGAUAGAGUUAGAGUGAAGAGAUU